rfam:Ixodes scapularis strain Wikel colony gcontig_1108378649774, whole genome shotgun sequence.
AAAGUGGCGUUUCUCGACGCCACUCAUCGUUAAAAACUCUUGAUGG